GACAGAGGGUGCAAACGUUGUUCGGAAUUACUGGGCGUAAAGCGAGUGUAGGCGGUUUGGUAAGUCGGAUGUGAAAGCCCCGGGCUCAACCCGGGAAGUGCACUCGAUACUGCCAAGCUAGAGUAUCGGAGAGGUUGGUGGAAUUCUCGGUGUAGAGGUGAAAUUCGUAGAUAUCGAGAGGAACACCAGUGGCGAAAGCGGCUUCCUGGUCCAGCACCGACGUUCAGGCACGAAAGCGUGGGGAGCAAACAGG
rnacentral:rRNA from 1 species